rnacentral:rRNA from 1 species
CAGCCGCCGCGGUAAUACGUAGGGUGCAAGCGUUAAUCGGAAUUACUGGGCGUAAAGCGUGCGUAGGCGGUGAGUUAAGUCUGCUGUGAAAUCCCCGGGCUCAACCUGGGAAUGGCAGUGGAUACUGGCUCGCUAGAGUGUGUCAGAGGAUGGUGGAAUUCCCGGUGUAGCGGUGAAAUGCGUAGAGAUCGGGAGGAACACCAGUGGCGAAGGCGGCCAUCUGGGACAACACUGACGCUGAGGCACGAAAGCGUGGGGAGCAAACAGGAUUAGAUACCCGGGUAGUCCCUGUCUCUUAUAC